rnacentral:lncRNA from 1 species
AUGUUUAUGGAAUGGACUUUUUUGAGGUCACAAAGCGUGUGGAGAAGCAAGCCACGACUUGGUCAUGUCAUUCCACACCCCGUUCUCUUUGUGCUGACUCACAUGGCCCAUGUUGCUUUGCCUAUCAAAUCACAGAAGAUGAGGAUGACAGAGUCCUCAGGGGUCAUUGUCCCUAUUCUGGACGAAGCUGCUCUUUCUGGUGUCUGCUGCUGUUUGGUCUUCUGUUCCAGAUUGUCACUGUUGCCAGAAAACAAAUGCCCCUCAACUCCAGAAAACGUGUGUGUAUGGACACGACUGUUGGUGCCGGAACCACCUCCAUCCAAACCACCCCAGUCUUCCUUCUCAGUACUCAAGACUGCUUCUGAAACGAUCUCCCCCGCCCUCCAAGGGAUGUUACCACCUCUUCAUCCUGUCCCUGCCGCCUAAAUCGACCUGCCAUCCAUCGCUGAGCAGUUUCCCAGACUCAUACUUGGUUUCAAGGUCCUUUGUUAGUUUUCUCCUGGUAAGUGACUGCAUCAUCUCUCUCUGUCAAGAAAUGGUUCACUGACUCCAGCUGAAACAAUUUGGUCUUGAUUUCUUUAUCGAUUCCUUCCUUUCCCGAGUCCAUAUUUUAUACUAACUGUUUUUAAUGUUUCAAACGGGAUCAGCUGUCAAAAGGGUGCCCAGAGUACAGCUGGUAUGGCCUAUGGAGAUGAGAGAAUCCAUUAAAAGAGAUAUUAGA